AUGAGCUUCAUGGAUUACUCUUGUAUAUUGGACACCUAUCUGAACUUCCCAGUGUUAAUACAGGAGCAUUUGUAAAUCAAAACCAGAUUAAGCUUUUUCCACCAUCAUGGCAUUUAUUACAUCUCCACUUGGAUAUACAUUGGCUGGUGCUAGAAAUUCUUUACAUGCUGGGUGAAAAAUUGAAACAAGUUGUAUAUGGUCAUCAGUUUAUGAAUCUGGCAAGUGACAAUUUAACCAAUGUCAGCCUACUUGAAGAACAUUGUGAAACUCUCCUUUGUGAUUUAAUAAGCCUGUCACUCAACAGGUAUGACAAGGUUAGGCCUUCUGAAUCAUUAAUGAGUGACCAGUGUCCAUGUUUAUGCAUUAAAGAAUUAUGGGUUCUACUUAUUCAUCUUCUAGACCACAGAAGUAAAUGGUCUGUCUCAGAAAGUUAUG
rnacentral:sRNA from 1 species